rnacentral:rRNA from 1 species
CGGGUGGUAAUACCGGAUGCUCCGCUCCAUCGCAUGGUGGGGUGGGAAAUGCUUUUGCGGCAUGGGAUGGGGUCGCGUCCUAUCAGCUUGUUGGCGGGGUGAUGGCCCACCAAGGCGUUGACGGGUAGCCGGCCUGAGAGGGUGACCGGCCACAUUGGGACUGAGAUACGGCCCAGACUCCUACGGGAGGCAGCAGUGGGGAAUAUUGCACAAUGGGCGCAAGCCUGAUGCAGCGACGCCGCGUGCGGGAUGGAGGCCUUCGGGUUGUAAACCGCUUUUGUUCAAGGGCAAGGCACGGUUUCGGCCGUGUUGAGUGGAUUGUUCGAAUAAGCACCGGCUAACUACGUGCCAGCAGCCGCGGUAAUACGUAGGGUGCGAGCGUUAUCCGGAUUUAUUGGGCGUAAAGGGCUCGUAGGCGGUUCGUCGCGUCCGGUGUGAAAGUCCAUCGCCUAACGGUGGAUCUGCGCCGGGUACGGGCGGGCUGGAGUGCGGUAGGGGAGACUGGAAUUCCCGGUGUAACGGUGGAAUGUGUAGAUAUCGGAAAAAAAACACCA